GAUGAACGCUAGCGGCGUGCCUAACACAUGCAAGUCGAACGCGAGAGGGUACUUGUAUCCUUGAAAGUGGCGGACGGGUGAGUAAGACGUAGGUGACCUGCCUUGAAGUGGGGGAUAACCAUUGGAAACGAUGGCUAAUACCGCAUAAGCUGGUGAUGAUGGGAAUCGUUAUCAGGAAAGCUUUAGUGCUUUGAGAGGGGCCUACGGCCGAUUAGCUAGUUGGUGAGGUAAAGGCUCACCAAGGCGAUGAUCGGUAGCUGGUCUGAGAGGACGAUCAGCCACACGGGAACUGAGACACGGUCCCGACUCCUACGGGGGGCAGCAGUGAGGAAUAUUCGGCAAUGGGGGCAACCCUGACCGAGCAACGCCGCGUGGAGGAUGACGGUUUUCGGAUUGUAAACUCCUUUUCUCAGGGAAGAGCGAGGACGGUACCUGAGGAAUAAGUCACGGCU
rnacentral:rRNA from 1 species